rnacentral:lncRNA from 1 species
AACAUCACGCCAUCGCGGGAAGAUAGAAGGGGUCUAAGCCUGAGUCCCCACUUCCGGAAGCUCAGUCUUGUCAGAGCCACGCUCACCUGGAAGCAACUAAGGAGUUCUCGCAAAGCAGAUCAGAGGAGCCCCAAUUCAAAGACUGCAUUGAGAUGCUCCUUUAUCCAGUCUGGGCCCUUCUCCACGAAGCCCAGAGCCUUCGGAGUCAGAGGAGACUCACCUUCACAAGCUCGGACCUUGGCUUCUGUUUCUGACUUCAGCCCCUCAGGCUUGCUUUGUCGUGAGCCUUUGCCUGGGAGGUGCGGAAAUGGACACCUAAGUCUAGCCAACACCGAGACUGGAAAGAUGACUGAUCAAGAAGCCUUCAGCCUGGAGGUGGUGUCUAUGCACCAUCCUGGAGCCAGUGGAAAAAAUGGAAAUAACUCUAAAAAAGAUCCUAGGAGGAAAGUAAAGGACAAACAGAACAGAGCCGCAAACAUGCUAUUUGGAGUUUACUUCCCCUAAGAGGAGCCUACUGUUGAAAAUACAAAGUCAUGUUUGACAAUAGAUCACAAAAAGGAAGCAGAGGGAAGAGGUGGUAGAAAAAACCUGGAUCCCGAUGUCAUCGUUAGACCCUUGUGCCCACCCACACCUUUGGCUGUUCUGUUACAUAAGCAAAUGCAUUCUGUUUUUUUUAAUAUAAGCCCAUUUGCUCCAGGUUUUCUUUCAAUUGCAACCAAAGGAUGUGACUGAUACAACUUCUUCUACAAAAUGCAUUUAAAAAUAAAUUU